GUCGUUGUAGUAUAGUGGUGAGUAUUCCUGCCUGUCACCCGGGUGACCCGGGUUCGAUCCCCGGCAAUGGCG
rnacentral:tRNA from 1 species